UGAAAGGCAACACAUUUCGUUGACUGAAAACCAGAGUAUUCUAAGUCAACUUUUGACAAGAUUAGAGUUAAUAUGCUCAGGGUAGGUUUUAGUGCAUAAUCUGUUUCUCUAGCAACUUUCUACAGUGCUAUCUAGCCUUGAAAGUGGUUUUUCAA